rnacentral:tRNA from 1 species
AGGGGACGGUCAGCCAACAAGAACUGCUAACUCUUGCAUCUGGGCUUAAACCCCCAGUCCCCUU